GACGAACGCUGGCGGCGUGGAUUAGGCAUGCAAGUCGAACGGUAUCAUCCUUUCGGGGGUGAGAGAGUGGCGAACUGGUGAGUAACACGUAGGUUAUCUACCCUCAAGACGGGGACAACCCAGGGAAACUUGGGCUAAUACCGGAUGUGAGCAACUUUUAGUUGUUUGAAAGGUGGCGUAAGCUGUCGCUUGGGGAUGAGCCUGCGUCCUAUUAGUUAGUUGGUGAGGUAACGGCUCACCUAGGCAAUGAUAGGUAGGCGGCCUUAACGGGUGGUCGCCCACACUGGGAUUGAGAUACGGCCCAGACUCCUACGGGAGGCAGCAGUCGAGAAUAGUCUACAAUGGUCGGAAGACUGAUAGUGCGACGCCGCGUGAACGAUGAAUCCCUUCGGGGUGUAAAGUUCUUUUAUAUGUGAGCAGUGCUUCUUAUAUUAACAGUAUGGGGAGAGAGAUAUUAGCAUAUGAAUAAAGCAAACGGCUAAACUCCGUGCCAGCAGCCGCGGUAAACU
rnacentral:rRNA from 1 species